rnacentral:rRNA from 1 species
AUUGAACGCUGGCGGCAGGCCUAACACAUGCAAGUCGAACGGUAACAGAAAGCAGCUUGCUGCUUUGCUGACGAGUGGCGGACGGGUGAGUAAUGUCUGGGAAACUGCCUGAUGGAGGGGGAUAACUACUGGAAACGGUAGCUAAUACCGCAUAACGUCGCAAGACCAAAGAGGGGGACCUUCGGGCCUCUUGCCAUCGGAUGUGCCCAGAUGGGAUUAGCUAGUAGGUGGGGUAACGGCUCACCUAGGCGACGAUCCCUAGCUGGUCUGAGAGGAUGACCAGCCACACUGGAACUGGGACACGGUCCAGACUCCUACGGGAGGCAGCAGUGGGGAAUAUUGCACAAUGGGCGCAAGCCUGAUGCGGCCAUGCCGGGUGUAUGAAGAAGGCCUUCGGGUUGUAAAGUACUUUCAGCGAGGAGGAAGGUGUUGUGGUUAAUAACCACAGCAAUUGACGUUACUCGCAGAAGAAGCACCGGCUAACUCCGUGCCAGCCGCCGCAGUAA